rnacentral:lncRNA from 1 species
CCCACCCGGUCUGCUGCCUCACCUGUGCUCUGUGGGCCGCGGGAGGCUCUGGGGAUGGAUCCUUUGUGGGGGAAAUUGGUGCCCUUGUGAAAGAGGCUUGAGGGAGCCUGUUUGAUCCUUCUGCCAUGUGUGGAUGCUCUGAGAAGGCACCAUGUUUGAAGCAGAGAACAAGCCCUUAGCAGACUGUGACUCUGCUGGAGCCUUGAUCUUGGAUAUCCCAGCCUCCAGAACUGUG